rnacentral:rRNA from 1 species
GACAGAGGGUGCAAGCGUUGUUCGGAAUUACUGGGCGUAAAGGGCUCGUAGGCGGCCAACUAAGUCAGAUGUGAAAUCCCCAGGCUUAACCUGGGAACUGCAUCUGAUACUGGAUGGCUUGAAUUCGGGAGAGGGAUGCAGAAUUCCAGGUGUAGCGGUGAAAUGCGUAGAUAUCUGGAGGAAUACCGGUGGCGAAGGCGGCAUCCUGGACCGACAUUGACGCUGAGGAGCGAAAGCUAGGGGAGCAAACGGG